AAAAAGGUUUUUAGUACACAUUACAAAUUUCUUCCUCUUAUAGUAGGCUACUACCGUACUGUAGGGUAAGCCUAUACCCAAGUUUAGAAGCCUACACAAAUUUUCAUUUUAUGUAUGGGCUGUAAUUUUUAGGACACCGCAACAGUGUAAAUGUAGGUCCAGUGCCGAUAUAGGUGUCAUCAAAUUUUUGGUUGAGAUUGAUCAAGUGUAUGUUAUUUGAAUCACAAAAAUUAAAUGGCGGUCACUAUUGUUUAUUGUUUUUAUGAACUAAACGAAGCUCAUAGUAGCACAAUUUUGCAUGCAUUUAACCUAUACCGUGUCAUCCAUGUUGUUUUUUAAACUAUUAAAAUAAUAUUCUUAUGGCUUUUAUUGGUGGAGAGUCCCUGACGGACUUACAACAGUCAUACUUCAGCCGGGACCGACAAUUUAACAUGCCAUCUAUACGGUACUAUUGAUAGGCAGGUAGACAAGCAACCACCCUAGAGCCAGUGGGCAGCCGAGCGACGACCCUGUCACAGUAGCCAAGUGCCCCCUGUAGCUGGCGCCGUCACCAGGGGCCCGCGAGGUGGAUGGAGGCGGGAAGGCGAAAUGAAUAACAGACGCCCGGUGAUGGUGAGAAUACUGAUGCUGGACUGAUGAACGUGCCAACUCCACUGAUACCUCACCAUAUUAUUUGUUUCACAUAGAGCAAUCCAAUAUUUUUUAUACACUUAUGAAGUGUUUUAUCAAUUAGCAUAAUAAAUAAUAAGACUAUUUGAACAAACAAAAUAAACACUUGAAAAGUAAUGUUGUCUAUUUAUGUAAAGAUUUUGUCACAUUUUAAACUCUGAAAUUUUUUUAUAUAAUUUCAUUAUAAUUCUCAUAAUGUGUAAUAGAUUGCAUAAAAUUGUUAUUAAAAACUCUAUUUACUAAA